UACAGAGGUCCCAAGCGUUGUUCGGAUUCAUUGGGCGUAAAGAGCGUGUAGGCGGCCAGAUAAGUCCGCUGUGAAAUCUCGAGGCUCAACUUCGAGCUGUCGGUGGAAACUGUCUGGCUAGAGUCCGGAAGAGGAGAAUGGAAUUCCUGGUGUAGCGGUGAAAUGCGCAGAUAUCAGGAAGAACACCCGUGGCGAAGGCGGUUCUCUGGGACGGUACUGACGCUGAGACGCGAAAGCGUGGGGAGCGAACAGG
rnacentral:rRNA from 1 species